CACGAUGAACUGUUAAACAUCAUGUAUGUAUGUAUGUUAUCAGUGCAGAGCAAGUCUUUACGGGGCCUCCUGGAUGUAAACAUUCACGAGAGGCAUUGUGGGAAGGCCAGAGAAUAGCGAAAUCAAAUUGUGAUGUGUACAUUUUAUCACCGUAUGUAGACAUGUAUAUUCAUUGUACAGCUACGAGCACAUGAACUGCCCUCGAUUACGCACUUGGAGCAUUAGUCAAUACUAACGAAGGAUAUAUUGUUGUCUGAAUCGUUUAUUAUGUUUCGACUACGAGAAAAUUCUGACGGUCAUAUUUGCGAUGGAUUGAUAAACACGUGCAGAUAUAUUUAUAAACUGUCCCCAGUGAUAUUGUAACUAGUAAGAAAAAGUUAAUGGUGACACUUUAAUGUGUGAUGGAAUUGGACGUUGCUAAAAAGGUGCGCAUGAUGCAACUUCCUGGAUGGUGUGUAGUCUGUUUGUCAACAUGUGAAACCCACGUGUAUUUUGAGGAGUAGCCUCCCCUGUUAAAGAUCAAUAAUGGUGGAUAAACAAUGCAGGGUGCUGUCAUGUCAUCAACAGAGAGUUUUGACACCUGUAUACCCGUAUUUCUACCAAUCACCUCUGUAACCUUUGUUGUGUUCAUCAGACAGAUGAUGGACCACUUUACUUCCUUUUACAACAGGUGCCCCUACAGAUUCACAAAGUUCCAAUGUUGAUUUUCCAUGACCCCCAUUCAUCCGCGACAGGAAAAGGAAUGAAGUUGACAGGAUUUCCCGCACUGUCCUUGGUAGCAGCUUAUGAUAGAACGGACAGCAGUAGACAUAGCCCGCUUCAUCAAAGGUACGUCUCCGGAGUAGUGUUUGUAGCAAUUCUCGUACUCUGUCCUACUUCGAAGCUUCAGAUCUAAGGCAAAUCUCUGCAUGUAUUCUUUUAUGGCUUUGGAUCUUCCGGGAAACAUGUGACUGCUGAACAGCGCCUUAGCUGUCUGUUUUCUUUGAGAGUCAAAGAAAUGACGCAAGUCUUUAAGGUUUUCGAUGACAU